rnacentral:lncRNA from 1 species
AUGGCCUCUGCUCCUCGAUCCACCAUCUCCACGCGUCAAGAUACAGUCCCACCCUCUCCUUCACUGGCCAAUCCUGCAGCUUGCUGUCCACCUACAACUGCCACAAACAACCAAUCAGCAACUACUCUGUCGCCAAGCAACAACCAGUCAACACUGGAAGUGAGUAGUCCAGUCCCUACACUGCGCAGCAUCAACAAGAAGGCCAAGUCCAGGCCUAUGGACAAGGACGGACGCUACCGGAACCGUCUAAGCCACACCUCCGCCCCCAUAUACCUGUCCAAGGCUAAGAAACCUGCCCCUGCACAGGACCUGGGGGGUGUAGGGGGAGUGGGGGGGGUCAACAACCGGCUGCCUGGACCGGGUGGGCCUGAAGACCAGCAGACACUGCCCCUGCCUCAGAGACAACGCAGGGACAACACACACAUCAGCACGGAGGAGGAAACAGGAGGAAGAUCAUCCCCUUCCAUUAUAGAUCUGCACAUCCUGGAGACAAACCAACACAUCUCAUCACACAACUGUCCCCAUCCUGACAGCUGCAGGUGGGUCUGCUUCUGUGGUUCUCUACACAGCUGGGGGUCUGCUUCUGUGGUUCUCUACACAGCUGGGGGUCUGCUUCUGUGGUUCUCUACACAGCUGUGGGUCUGCCUGUGUGGUUCUCUACACAGCUGUGAGUCUGCUUCUGUGGUUCUCUACGCAGCUGUGGGUCUGCCUGUGUGGUUCUCUACACAGCUGUGGGUCUGCUUCUGUGGUUCUCUACACAGCUGUGGGUCUGUGUGGUUCUCUUAAGACUGUAUUGGUAAAGUGUAGUUCAACUGUAAUUCAAUACAUGACACUAUGUGGAAUACAUGACCCUUUGUGGAAUACAUGACACUAUGUGGAAUACAUGACACUAUGUGGAAUACAUGACCCUAUGUGGAAUACAUGACCCUAUGUGGAAUACAUGACACUAUGUGGAAUACAUGACCCUAUGUGGAAUACAUGACCCUAUGUGGAAUACAUGACACUAUGUGGAAUACAUGACCCUUUGUGGAAUACAUGACCCUAUGUGGAAUACAUGACCCUAUGUGGAAUACAUGACCCUAUGUGGAAUACAUGACACUAUGUGGAAUACAUGACCCUAUGUGGAAUACAUGACCCUAUGUGGAAUACAUGACACUAUGUGGAAUACAUGACCCUUUGUGGAAUACAUGACCCUAUGUGGAAUACAUGACACUAUGUGGAAUACAUGACCCUAUGUGGAAUACAUGACACUAUGUGGAAUACAUGACACUAUGUGGAAUACAUGACCCUAUGUGGAAUACAUGACCCUAUGUGGAAUACAUGACCCUAUGUGGAAUACAUGACCCUAUGUGGAAUACAUGACCCUAUGUAGAAUACAUGACACUAUGUGGAAUACAUGACACUAUGUGGAAUACAUGACACUAUGUGGAAAUUGUGUGACUGCAUUGUAUAAUGAUUUUCGGUUUUGUCAACAGCUAUUCAGUAUCACUCCAAGGAACCAGGAACUCCUCCAUGUCACAAAUCACUCUACACAUGAGGUGAGUACAGACGGCCUGCUCCACACAUUAACCUGAACCAACACGGCCUGCUCCACACAUUCACCUGAACCAACACGGCCUGCUCCACACAUUAACCUGGACCAACACGGCCUGCUCCACACAUUCACCUGGACCAACA